AAACUCAAAGGAAUUGACGGGGCCGCACAAGCGGUGGAGCAUGUGGUUUAAUUCGAAGCAACGCGAAGAACCUUACCAGGUCUUGACAUCCCCUGACAACCCGAGAGAUCGGGCGUUCCCCCUUCGGGGGACAGGGUGACAGGUGGUGCAUGGUUGUCGUCAGCUCGUGUCGUGAGAUGUUGGGUUAAGUCCCGCAACGAGCGCAACCCUCGACCUUAGUUGCCAGCAUUCAGUUGGGCACUCUAAGGUGACUGCCGGCUAAAAGUCGGAGGAAGGUGGGGAUGACGUCAAAUCAUCAUGCCCCUUAUGACCUGGGCUACACACGUGCUACAAUGGGCGGUACAAAGGGUCGCGAACCCGCGAGGGGGAGCCAAUCCCAAAAAGCCGCUCUCAGUUCGGAUUGCAGGCUGCAACUCGCCUGCAUGAAGCCGGAAUCGCUAGUAAUCGCGGAUCCAGCAUGCCGCGGUGAAUACGUUCCGGGCCUU
rnacentral:rRNA from 1 species